rnacentral:rRNA from 1 species
CACAUGCAAGUCGAGCGCGAAUAGGGGCAACCCUUAGUAGAGCGGCGCACGGGUGCGUAACACGUGGAUAAUCUGCCUGGAUGCCUGGGAUAACCAGUCGAAAGAUUGGCUAAUACCGGAUAAGCCCACGGUUUCUUCGGAGACUGAGGGAAAAGGUGGCCUCUGUAUACAAGCUAUCACAACCAGAUGAGUCCGCGGCCCAUCAGCUAGUUGGCGGGGUAAUGGCCCACCAAGGCAACGACGGGUAGCUGGUCUGAGAGGACGAUCAGCCACACUGGAACUGAGACACGGUCCAGACUCCUACGGGAGGCAGCAGUGGGGAAUUUUGCGCAAUGGGCGAAAGCCUGACGCAGCAACGCCGCGUGUGUGAUGAAGGUCUUUGGAUUGUAAAGCACUUUCGACCGGGACGAAACCGUAAAGCCUAAUACGCUUUGCCUUGACGGUACCGGGAGAAGAAGCACCGGCUAACUCUGUGCCAGCAGCCGCGGUAAUACAGAGGGUGCAAGCGUUGUUCGGAAUUAUUGGGCGUAAAGCGCGUGUAGGCGGCUUUGCAAGUCGGGUGUGAAAGCCCUCAUCUCAACUGAGGAAGUGCGCCCGAACCU